rnacentral:rRNA from 1 species
UACGUAGGGUGCAAGCGUUGUCCGGAAUUAUUGGGCGUAAAGAGCUUGUAGGCGGUUUGUCGCGUCUGCUGUGAAAAUCCGGGGCUCAACCCCGGACUUGCAGUGGGUACGGGCAGACUAGAGUGUGGUAGGGGAGACUGGAAUUCCUGGUGUAGCGGUGAAAUGCGCAGAUAUCAGGAGGAACACCGAUGGCGAAGGCAGGUCUCUGGGCCACUAUUGACGCUGAGAAGCGAAAGCAUGGGGAGCGAACAGG